rnacentral:rRNA from 1 species
UACGUAGGGUGCAAGCGUUGUCCGGAAUUAUUUGGGCGUAAAGGGCUCGUAGGCGGUUUGUCGCGUCGGGAGUGAAAACCAGGUGCUUUAACACCUGGCUUGCUUUUCGAUACGGGCAGACUAGAGGUAUGCAGGGGAGAACGGAAUUCCUGGUGUAGCGGUGAAAAUGCGCAGAUAUCAGGAGGAACACCGGUGGCGAAGGCGGUUCUCUGGGCAUGACCUGACGCUGAGGAGCGAAAGUGUGGGGAGCGAAACAGG